AAAUAUUUUAAUAACAAUACUGCAGGGGUAUGAACUCUGGCUUUAAGAAACUCACAAGGAAUUUUAUGUUCUAUACCCUUUGUUUCUUUUUCUUGUGUGCUUCGGUCAGGAAAAAUCAUUAGUCAAGUUAAUCAAGGGGAUCUGAGAGCCAAAUACAAGAUUCAACGUAAAAAUGGAAUCCUUGGGCUAGGCGUGGUGGCUCAGGCCUGUAAUCCCAGGACUUUGGGAGGCUGAGGCAGGCGGAUCACCUGACCUUAGGAGUUCGAGACCAGUCUGGCCAACAUGGUGAAACCCCGUCUCCACUAAAAAUACAAAAAUUAGCCAGGCGUGGUGGUGGGCACCUGUAAUCCCAGCUACUUUGGAGGCUGAGGCAGGAUAAUCACUUGAACCCAGGAGGCAGAGGUUGCAGUGAUCUGAGAUUGCACCACUGCACUCCAGCCUGGGCAAAAGAGCGAGACUCCAUCUCAUAAAUAAAUACAUAAAUAAAUAAAGAAAUCCUUAAUUUCUGCGGAACUGAGUGCUCUACCUUCUGGCUACACCUACGUAUACCUGUAUGAGGUAUAGGCCCUGGAAGCAGCAAACACUUACAGAAAUGGUGAAAUCUUACUAAAGGUAAUCUAAAGUUAUGGUGGAACAUCCCAAAUGAACAACACUGCACUUUAGGAAGUACAUAUAAAAAUGAAGUCUCCCAAUUUAGUAUUAUUCAGGGAUGGCUGUUGAAGUUCAGAAGCUUCUAAAAAGAUUCCAAUAAUUUUACAGAUUCUUUUAAAAGAUUCUUUGUAAAAGGCAAAUAAAAAGCUUAAGUGACUAAUCAGAAAAAUUAGGUCUUCUAACCUUUUGUCAUUGUUACUGUCUUGCCCUGAAAGGGAAAAGAAAGCUGGAUAAAGUAUUUAUAGAAGAUAGAGGACCUGUGGUGGCUCAUGCCUGUAAUCCAAGGUGGAAGGAUUGCUUGAGGCCAGAAGUUCAAGACCAGUCCAAGCAACAUAGCAAGGCCCCAUCUCUACAAAAAAUGAAAAUAAAAUUAGCCGAGCGUGAUGGCUCAUGCCUGUAGUUCUAGCUUCUAGAGAGGCUGAGGCAGGAGGAUUGCUUGAGUCCAGGAGUUCAAGAUUACAGUGAGCUAUGGUCACACCACUGCACUCCAGCCUGGGUGAUGGAGUGAGACUGUCUCAAUAAAAAGACAAAAAGGCUGGCCAGGGGCAGUGGUUCAUGCCUGUAAACCCAGCACUUUGGGAGGCAAAGGCAGGAGGAUUGCUUAAGCCCAGGAAUUUGAGAUCAGCCUGGACAACAUGGUCAAGGAAGCUUUUCCUGAUCCACUAACUAAGGACAAUCAAACCCUUCAUGAUCUAGAAUCUGGAGACUGUGUCUUCUGGGAAUAGUAUCAGAGAAAGACUGCCCUUACUGCCCACAUGUAGCAAAACUUUGAGACGUUGAAUUAUGGGUCCAUAAUCUCACAACUCAGAGGGGCACCUCUAGACUCUUGGAACUGUAUAUCUAUUGGAGACUUUAAGGUAAAGCUGAACAGAGAGACGUUUUUCUCCAGAAGCAGACAGCACCAUAGUCAUGGACAGCUUUCCCAAGAUCACAGAUCAAGACUUCUCUGCCGUCAUGAGACUCAUAACCUCUUAAUUUUUUCUUGCUUAUGCUUCUGUGAACAAUAGAAUUGGAAAAGGGGUGGUCCCGCGUGCACCCAUAGGGUAUACUUUUAUUUGUGGAGGAUUUUGCUGCCAACCUUAUACAUGGGCAAACUUAUGCCUUCAUGGAUGGAAGAUAAAGGGCUAAUAUGGGUUAGAAAUUUUAAUGGUACCUUUGUUUCUCCAUAAUCAUUCAGAAACAGAACACUGGUCCACUCUUGUUAACCUACAUCAUAGGUUGAAGAGAACAUUGCCAGGAGGCCUUCAUCCUUCCAGAUGGGCACCAUUUGUUGGGUCUUUUUCCGUGGUAUGAAGAAAAUGAAGCAAUGAUUAGAAAUUGGUCCCUCGGCCGGGCACAAUGGCUCAUGCCUGUAAUCCCAUCACUUUGGCAGGCCGAGGCGGGUGGAUCACCUGAGGUCAGGAGUUUGAGACCAGCCUGACCAAUGUGGUGAAACGCCAUCUCUACUAAAAAUACAAAAAUUAGCUGGGUGUGAUGGUGCACACCUGUAAUCCAGCUACUCGGGAGGCUGAGACAGGAGAAUUGCUUGAACCUGGGAGGCAGAGGUUGCAGUGAGCCAAGAUCACCCCACUGCAUUCCAGGUUGGGCAACAGAGCAAGACUCUGUCUCAAAAAAAAAAGAAGAAAGAAAGAAAUUGAUCCCUCAUAAUAGGCUGUAUAGCAGAUUCUACUGCAAAGGCUAUGGUUGCACAACAGACUUCUUUGAAUUUGCUUGCUAAACUUUUACUGGAUAAUACUGGGAUUACAGGUGUGAGCCACUGUGCCCAGCCUCUCCUGUUUAACUGUAUUCAUUCUAAUGUUUACUUACUUCUUUAAUUUGUAAAAUUGGGUCACUUAGAGUUUUUUUAGCCUAUCUUGCCAUUUAGCCACUGUUACUGAUAAUUUGGAUGGAAAAGAAAAAUAAAUUAUAUCACCUCUCA
rnacentral:lncRNA from 1 species